CUUUCUUUGCUGGCGACCGGCGCACGGGUGAGUAACACGUAUCCAACCUGCCCUUUACUCGGGGAUAGCCUUUCGAAAGAAAGAUUAAUACCCGAUAGCAUAAUGAUUCCGCAUGGUUUCAUUAUUAAAGGAUUCCGGUAAAGGAUGGGGAUGCGUUCCAUUAGGCAGUUGGUGGGGUAACGGCCCACCAAACCUUCGAUGGAUAGGGGUUCUGAGAGGAAGGUCCCCCACAUUGGAACUGAGACACGGUCCAA
rnacentral:rRNA from 1 species